rnacentral:lncRNA from 1 species
GGAAGAUACAAAGUGUAGGGUAAAGAGGGUAAUGGGCAUCAUUUCAGAGGGAAGUAGAGGGAAGGAGUUGGGUACUGGUAGGGAAAAAAGAGAAAACAGAAAGAAGGGAGAAAUUCGGAUCUCUUGAUGAAGGCACCAAGUUAAUCCUCAGCAGCUGGUGUAGUAGAAAGAGGCCUGGAAAUAGGAGGUGGCAGACAUGUUUCUCUUUGACAGCCGAGCGACUUCUUGUAAGUCAGAAGAAAGGAAAAUCUUCCCUCUUCGGGACCCUGUGAUUGCACAAAUCCAACAUAUUGCUGCCAGGGAGAUGCAGCUGGAAAACUCUAGAAGCUGAAGCGUUGUCAUUAGGCAGGAACUCCAGGGUGUCCAGAGACAAAUUCCUAAAGAAACCUGGAAACAUCAAAGUGGAAGACGGAGGAGAGAGGGACUGAAGGUCGUAAAGCAUUGGCACAGAG